UCAAAUGUAACAAACAAACACCCAAUUGGCAACAGCGCCAAAUUGAUAAUAGGUUUUUAAGAUCAAUUAAUCCUAAAGCACUAUCAUGUCGUUGUAGUACUGAAGGUUGUCAAUCCCAAUGAGUGUGAUGCUAACAAUCAAGAUGCAAUCAGAGUUCACAGAGUCAAGCCAAACAAUAACAGGUUUUUGUGUGUUCUAACAGUCCUAAGUGAACAUGCAUAAAACAGAAAAUAAGACAGAAACAAUAAAACACUCGACCAACACAGCUCGUUGUAGAGCACUGGGUGUGGUCGAGUGACUGGUCGAGUAACAGGCAGUAAAUGAAACAAAGAUACUCGACUGUACAGUCUGUUGCCAGACAACUGGGUGGUCGAGUAUCACGUCGAAUAACAGGAAAGAAUUGCAAAAACUAAGCAACAUGUGACAAUAUGCAGUAAACAACAGCAGAGUAAACAAAAAAAUCAAUUAGAUAAAGAAAUUCCCAAGGAUGGGGUAAUUGAGUAGUUUUGUUUCCUCAGUUUACAGGUGAUCGACAUGCUCAAUAAAUUAUCCCUAGACAACAAGUUCAUUAACCAAAUCUAAGUGCCACCGCAAUAGAGACCCUCAAGUUAAACUAGUCUCAAACUCAAUCACCAUUGACGAGAGCUAACCUAACAGGCAUUACGAAUCAACAAGUUAAAGCCAAAACGCUCCUUGCAACCAAUACCUUGGUAUAGAGCCACGAAUUUCUGGAAUUAGUGGUUCAGACAUUUCAUCGAAAACGUGUUGGGCGCAGAAAUGUCUGGGCUCAUAUUCCAAUUGAUCAGAAGGCAAUGGGCAUUAACAACAACUAUUCCAGAAGGGAUCUAUAAAUCAAACCCAACCACCUAGCAUACUGAGAAUUCUAAACUACUCUAAGCCAUCCUCAGAAACCUAGUCACUACUCAUACAUCAUUGUAGAAAGCAUAAACGAUGAUAAGAAUGAAAACAUGAUAUCAACAGAGUAAUAACAAGAUGAUAAUAGGAUGAACAAUAGUAAACAAAAUCAAAAGCAAAUACUGAAUAGAUUAAGAAAAAUCCGGAUUACAAAAACGUCAAGAACACAGUGUCUACAGAAUAAAACUU
rnacentral:sRNA from 1 species